rnacentral:lncRNA from 1 species
CUGUUGUGUAACUCACCGCGCGUGCAGAUGGCUGGGUUCUCUCUCUUUUCUCCUGUUGGACACAUGGAUGCUGUUUUCUCGAAGCUGGAAUGCGAGAAAAGCAACACAUGAUUUUAUAACGCGGCCACCUGAUUCUUCUCUCAGCGCUGUUUCUCAGCUGUUUCUCUUUCAGUCUGACUGUUUCUCUCUGUAUUUCUCUCUCUUUCUCCGGGUUUUAUGGGCUGUGUUUGGAGUUCUGGUGGUCUGAAGAGAGUCUGCGCUGUGUUUUUACACUUUUCUGAACUGGUUUUAUUUUAAUUUUAACAGAAAAUAACGCGUUUUCAGGCGUUUCCUGAGAGAAGAGAUGGGUUUCUUCUCGCGGUUUUCCUCUUUUUCCUCGCGUGGUGAAGUUUUAUGGGUUUUGUUGAUGUUUUGAGGCUCGAGCUCCUCAGCAUGGGCAGCACCUCCAGCAGAGUUAAGAGAGUCGCACCUGCGCUCGAGCCCGCCGCACACCUGGAGGAGGAAGUGGAGGCGGAAGAGGUGGAGGAAGAGGUGGAGAAGAUCCUGGAAGCCUGUGAGAUCUCAGACAGUGGUCUCAGCAGGAGACUCUUCCAGAAAGCUUUCUUCACCUCAAAAACCUGCGGCCUCUGUUAUGGUAAAGUGGAUAACACCACCAACACCACCAGCAGAGGAAACAUCAGACUGGACCACAGUGAAGCAGAGAGCAGAAACCAUCAUUCCUCUGAGGAUAUGGAUGAAAAUUGGCAUAAAGCAGUGGGUGGAGGGAGAGCAGAUCCAGUGAACACAAAGGCAGCUGGCGCUCCUGGACGUUGUGAGAACCCGUCGCUGGCUUUACCUGUGUUUUAUGAUGCUUCGGAAGAAGAUCUGAUGAACAUCAUAGAGAGAGAAUUCGGUUGAGCUUCGGUUAACUUAAAGACUUAAAACUUAAACUUAAAGACUAUUUCUAUCAGCUUAUUUUUUAUGAAGAUGCAUUUUCCAGAUACCAGCUGUAUUACAGAGCCUUUUUGUAUAAUGCACUGCCUGGACAAAAAAAGGUCAACAUAUGGAUUAAACUAAGCAAAUAGGUAAGAGACUCCUAUUGGAUAAUAAUUACUCCAUGGGUGAUUAAUAUGUUUUAGCUGACAACAAGUUUUUUAACACGAACUGAUGCAGGGAGU